UGCCACAGCCAAAUCACCCUGCAGCCGAAGACUGGUUACUCACUGAAGCUAAGUAGGACUGAGCCUGGUCAGUACUUGGAUGGGAGACCACAUGGGAAAGUUAGGUCACUGUUGCAA
ensembl:rRNA 5S_rRNA 5S ribosomal RNA